AGUGUUCCGUUUAGCUGAAAGAAGCAUUAAUAAACUACUUAGCACAUGCUCCAUUAUAACAACGCAUCUUAUAUUUUCAUUUCAUUAUAACCAUUAUACUCUAUACAAAUAUAUAAAUAGUGAGUUUGUCGGUGCCUGGUGUUAUUCGCUGAAUUAAAGCUCGCUUCCCCUCAGCUAUUUUAUGUCAUUUCGUAUCUCUUCUGUAGCUCUCUGUUGCAGCUCCUAGAACCUACCUCUUCUCUACUGCAACCCUAGAACCCUACCCCUAUCCUCUGCCCUCCCUGCAGGUCUCUUCUGCAGCCCUAGAACCCUAGCACUACCCUCUACCCUCCCACAUUCUUCCGCUCCCUCCCUACUCUCUCUAUUCCCCUCCCGUUACAUGUCUCUUUCUAGGUUCUGAGAGCUUCUCUCUCUUGCAGAAUAAUGCCACUUGAUCAUGGGAGUGCUGGUGAUGAUUAUCCUUAUUGCCAGUCGGUGAUCAGUGAUGGUUGCUGAUGGGAUUGCUUGGCAUUAGGAUCCCUAAUGCUCCUCCUUUGGUAGAUCUGCAAUAAUAGGAUUACCUCUUAUCAUCACUAUCUAUAGGAUAAUGCUCCGAGGUGGACAUCCACUGCUCCCAUAUCCAAUUUUCAAGUGGGUUGAACUAAAGGCCUCCUUAUCUUAACUUGAUUUAUUUAAAUUUUAUCUCUAAUUUUUUUUUUUACAAAGAUAUAUAAAUGUUAUUAAUAUCUUUAUUUUUUUUUCACAUGUAAACAACACGCUCUGUGGAACUAGACGGUGAUUGUCAAAAUUCUGCUUGAUUCCCUUCUCCUGGUGUCUAGUUUGUACUUCUUGGUGACGCCACAGGUCCGAGUCGGGACGAUACGUGAGGUGCGCAUCUUAGCUAGCGAUAGAGCUAUCGGCCCGCCAUUUUGGUUAAACUCCUCAAAUCUGUCUUUUUAAUAAUUGACAUAAACAUUAUGGUUCAGUGGUUUAAUUUAAUUGAAUUCAUAUGGUUUUUAUGAGUGUAAUAAAGUACUUACGGAUUUCUAUGAGAUAAUAAAUGGUGUUCUAUCCUACGUGGAAGCGUGUUUUAAAA